rnacentral:rRNA from 1 species
CGGCGGACGGGUGAGUAACACGUGGAUAACCUACCUAUAAGACUGGGAUAACUUCGGGAAACCGGAGCUAAUACCGGAUAAUAUAUUGAACCGCAUGGUUCAAUAGUGAAAGACGGUUUUGCUGUCACUUAUAGAUGGAUCCGCGCCGCAUUAGCUAGUUGGUAAGGUAACGGCUUACCAAGCAACGAUGCGUAGCCGACCUGAGAGGGUGAUCGGCCACACUGGAACUGAGACACGGUCCAGACUCCUACGGGAGGCAGCAGUC